GAGCCUCGUUUUGAUUCCAACAUGGCCGCGGCGUGAAUCGCGGUUGUUGAUGUUUGUUUUCUGUCUUGAAUACGUGAACCUAAAGAUUCCGGUAGCAUUAUGGCCGAAGACCCAGCUUACACCAGUGAACAGCGAACUGUUAAGCUUUGGUGCUGCGACUCAAACAAACGAAAAGUCAGCGAUGCCACUGAUUUGGACGUCAUCUUCACGUCGCUGGAGGACGAACUGUGGCAGCUCAGGGGCGAGCAAGGGGACGUGCAGGGUCGCCGGGCUGUGAACAAGCUCUACAAGCUGAUCCAGGAGGAGGUGUUUCCUGCG